rnacentral:rRNA from 1 species
UACGUAUGGAGCAAGCGUUAUCCGGAUUUACUGGGUGUAAAGGGAGUGUAGGUGGCAUCACAAGUCAGAAGUGAAAGCCCGGGGCUCAACCCCGGGAUUGCUUUUGAAACUGUGGAGCUGGAGUGCAGGAGAGGCAAGUGGAAUUCCUAGUGUAGCGGUGAAAUGCGUAGAUAUUAGGAGGAACACCAGUGGCGAAGGCGGCUUGCUGGACUGUAACUGACACUGAGGCUCGAAAGCGUGGGGAGCAAACAGG